rnacentral:rRNA from 1 species
UACAGAGGUCCCAAGCGUUGUUCGGAUUCACUGGGCGUAAAGGGUGCGUAGGUGGCCAGGUAAGUUUGGUGUGAAAGCUCGGAGCUUAACUCCGAAAUGUCAUUGAAUACUAUCUGGCUGGAGGGUCGGAGGGGAGACUGGAAUUCUCGGUAUAGCAGUGAAAUGCGUAGAUAUCGAGAGGAACACCAGUGGCGAAGGCGAGUCUCUGGACGACUCCUGACACUGAGGCACGAAAGCCGGGGGAGCAAACAGG